AUUGAACGCUGGCGGCAGGCCUAACACAUGCAAGUCGAGCGGAGCGGCGGACGGGUGAGUAAUGCCUAGGAAUCUGCCUGGUAGUGGGGGAUAACGUCCGGAAACGGGCGCUAAUACCGCAUACUAUCAGAUGAGCCUAGGUCGGAUUGGCUAGUUGGUGGGGUAAAGGCCUACCAAGGCGACGAUCCGUAACUGGUCUGAGAGGAUGAUCAGUCACAAUGGAACAGAGACACGGUGAAGACUACGACGGGAGGAAGAAGUGGGGAAUAGGGGACAAUGGGCGAAAGCCUGAUCCAGCCAUGCGGCGUGUGUGAAGAAGGUCUGCGGAUUGUAAAGCACUUUAAGAUGGGAGGCGUUACCAACAGAAUAAGCACCGGCGAACUUCGUGCCAGCAGCCGCGGUAAGUC
rnacentral:rRNA from 1 species